rnacentral:rRNA from 1 species
CAUCUAAGUACCUGGAGGAAGAGAAAACAAUAGUGAUUUCCAGAGUAGUGGCGAGCGAAAUGGAAAUAGCCCAAACCAUUUUUGUUUAGGCAAAAAUGGGGUUGUAGGACUACAAUAUUUCAUGUACUAUGAAGUAGAAUACAUUGGAAAAUGUAACCAAAGAGGGUGAUAGUCCCGUACACGUAAAUACGUAUUUAUGAAUAGUAGUAUCCUGAGUAGCGCGGAACAUGUGAAAUUCUGUGUGAAUCUGCCGGAACCAUCCGGUAAGGCUAAAUACUCCUGUGAGACCGAUAGUGAACUAGUACCGUGAGGGAAAGGUGAAAAGUACCCUGAAAAAGGGANUGAAAUAGACCCUGAAACCGUAUGCUUACAAGCGGUCGGAGCUAAUUUAUUAGUGACGGCGUGCCUUUUGCAUAAUGAUCCUACGAGUUACUCCUCUCUAGCAAGGUUAAAGACUUAAGGUCUGGAGCCGGAGCGAAAGCAAGUCUUAAUAGGGCGUUGAGUUAGAGGGGGUAGACGCGAAACCGAGUGAUCUACCCAUGACCAGGUUGAAGCUUCGUUAACCCGAAGUGGAGGACCGAACCAGUANACGUUGAAAAGUNUUUGGAUGAGUUGUGGGUAGGGGUGAAAGGCCAAUCAAACUCGGAAAUAGCUCGUACUCUCCGAAAUGCAUUUAGGUGCAGCGUUAUAUUCAGUAUCAUAGAGGUAGAGCUACUGAUUGGAUGCGGGGGCUUCACCGCCUACCUAGUCCAGACAAACUCCGAAUACUACUGAUAUUUAUAUAGCAGUGAGGGCAUGGGUGCUAAGGUCCAUGUCCGAGAGGGAAACAACCCAGAUCAUCAGCUAAGGUCCCAAAAUUAUAGUUAAGUUGAAAUAAACGAAGUUUGAUUGCUUAGACAGCUAGGAUGUUGGCUUGGAAGCAGCCAUUCAUUUAAAGAGUGCGUAACAGCUCACUAGUCGAGCGAUCGAGCAUGGAUAAUAAUCGGGCAUAAACUAUAUACCGAAGCUAUGAACUUCUUUUGAAGUGGUAGGAGAGCAUUCCAGCGACGCUGAAGGUGAAUCGUGAGAUUUGCUGGAGUUUCUGGAAAAGAAAAUGUAGGAAUGAGUAACGAUAAAGCGGGCGAGAAACCCGCUCACCAAUAGACUAAGGUUUCCUGAUCAACGCUAAUCGGAUCAGGGUUAGUCGGGUCCUAAGGCGAACCCUAAUGGGGUAGUCGAUGGAUAACGGGUUAAUAUUCCCGUACUACUGUAUACUGCGAUGUGGUGACGGAGUAGUGAAACUCUUGCGUACUGACGGAAUAGUACGUUGAAAGGGAGUAGGUAUUAAUUAAAUAGGAAAAUCCGUUUAGUUAGCUGAACCCUGAUAGUACCAUGAGUCCUCGGACAAGUGGAUAAUAGAGCUAAUCAGACUUCCAAGAAAAACCGCUAAGCUUCAGGUAUAUAGUACCCGUACCGUAAACCGACACAGGUAGUCAAGUAGAGAAUACUAAGGUGCUCGAGUGAUUCAUGGCUAAGGAACUAGGCAAAAUAGUCUCGUAACUUCGGGAGAAGAGACGCCAUCUUCGGAUGGCCGCAGUGAAAUGGCCCAGGCGACUGUUUAUCAAAAACACAGGACUCUGCUAAAUCGAAAGAUGAUGUAUAGGGUCUGACACCUGCCCGGUGCCGGAAGGUUAAGAGGAGAUGUUAUCCUUUUGGAGAAGCAUUGAAUUGAAGCCCCGGUAAACGGCGGCCGUAACAAUAACGGUCCUAAGGUAGCGAAAUUCCUUGUCGGGUAAGUUCCGACCCGCAAUGAANGGNGUAACGAUCUGGGCACUGUCUCAGCCAUGAGCUCGGUGAAAUUGUAGUAUCGGUGAAGAUGCCGAUUAACCGCUACGGGACGGAAAGACCCCGUGAACCUUCACUACAACUUAGUGUUGACUUUGGAAAAAUGAUGUGUAGGAUAGGUGGGAGACUUUGAAGCGUUGCCGCUAGGCAAUGUGGAGUCGUUGUUGAAAUACCACCCUUCAUUUUUCUGAAGCCUAACCUUUAACGAGGAACAGCGCUUGGUGGGUAGUUUGACUGGGGUGGUCGCCUCCAAAAGAGUAACGGAGGCUUCUAAAGGUACCCUCAGCACGCUUGGUAAC